AUCAUUUUUCUUGUGGACUUUUGUGGAUAUCUCGCUGAUGGGGAAUAAUAGUGGGGAGAAGCAUCCUUUGUAUUUUUAGCACUCCGUGAUAGCAUCAAGUAUCCCAGAUCUCGUAUUGGACCGUACCAUUCCGUUCACGUGAUGUGAUUCUGAAUAAAGUAAAGUAAAGUUGAAGAGAGAAGGGAGAUACCGGCAGGGUUCAUCGCUGAAUGUUGAUCAAACUGGAAUAAUGCUGGAUCAUUUUAACGCCAGCGCGGAAACCUCUGAUACUGCAGCAGGGGAGAGCGCCUGUUCAGCAUUGGCUCCCCAUUAUUAAACAUUCUUCCAUCUGCGGCAGAUCUUUCAGAAACAGACUGCCUCCUGAUGCACCAUAUUUGAAAUUCAGCAGUUUUCCUAAAAAGGGCUUUGAAACUACGUGUGAACCUAACAGCAAGAUCACUUAAAACCAACUACAAAAUAACUGAAGAUACCAGCACUUUGACAAAGCUAGCUUGUGAGACAAUGGAGGUUCAUGUUUGCUGACCAUAUCAUCUUAUCAUGAACAGUUCUUGAUCUCUUAACAUUAUCUAUGUUGAUUCAUUAACAUUAAAUAUAAACUUACACUAUGUUAAUGGAGACACAUUUUUGAAAUUAGAAUUUCAUGAUAAAUCCCAAGCUCAUGUUUAUGCUUCAUGAAGAAUCGGUGAAAUAGAUAUUUUGAGCUUUAAUUUCAAA